UAAAAGGGUGUUUGCCGCUUUAAUGGCACGUUCGCCUUAAAAAGGGCGCGCGGGGUAUGGCUAUCAAGACAUAUCCAACACGUAAUUUUUGGGAAGGUGGGGCAGUCGGAUACAUGUGUACCGGCGCCUCC